GACAUGGGUGGCAAACGUUAUCCGGAAUUAUUGGGCGUAAAGCGCACGUAGGCGGCGCCGUAAGUCAGGGGUGAAAUCCCGGAGCUCAACUCCGGAACUGCCCUUGAAACUGCAGUGCUAGAAUUCUGGAGAGGCGAGUGGAAUUCCGAGUGUAGAGGUGAAAUUCGUAGAUAUUCGGAAGAACACCAGUGGCGAAGGCGACUCGCUGGACAGACAUUGACGCUGAGGUGCGAAAGCGUGGGGAGCAAACAGG
rnacentral:rRNA from 1 species